CAACCACACAUCCCGUAACACCUGCAAUAUCUCCAGAAUGAACCAAAACAUUAUCCCCAAUAUUAUAAAUAGGUAACUUUGCAUGAGGAACCGCAGCAAGUAAAUCAUCAUAACUUCCAUAUUCAUCAUUUCCAUACAUGUUUUAUUAAGUAACCCGAUUCCGUGAAUAAUUUAUUUUGAAAACGAAACGUUCCAUAAUGAGGCCCAGGAUCAAUCGUUCCCCCUUUGGCUUCAAUCUAAACUCAUUAUCAUGAAAAAACUAAUGUUCGGCCUGAAAAUAAAAGAAUCAGAGUUAUACAAAACGAGAGUAGUUGGUAGAAUACUUUUGGUUCACAUAAAUCAGUCAAAUUGAUACGUGGAACAAGUCGAACCCAAACGUUGGUAUUACUGUCGUCCACAUUUGUGACUUGAGCUAAAUCAUUCGCGUAAAUUCCUCCUCGAAUUCGCACCAAUUCAUGACGAUGUACUUGUUUAGUUCUUCUAAUAAAAUACAGAAUUCGUAACGAGGCGGUUUUCUCACAAAAAAGAUUUUUUUUUAAUUACUUACUGUUCACCCAUACCAAAAAUAUUAUUCAAGUCCGCUACUGGAACGAUUUUUAUACUUGAUAAUAUCAAACUUUUCAAUCCAUAAAGGGCUCGUUUAAUCUUAAGACAAAAAAACACAAAUGUUAAAAGUUAAAAAAACUAUUUUUUAUUUGAUAUUCGUUAACAAAAACAAGUUACUUGUGCAAGAUUGGAAGCUUCAACAUAAAUAUGCCCUUUUAUAUUUUUUGGCGCAAACGCAGAAAGUAGAGGAAAGCUUUUUUUUUUUUUUUUCAUGCACAUACAUUUAUUCAUAAUUCCAAUCACAACA